AACGCACAUUGCGCCCUUUGGUAUUCCGAAGGGCAUGCCUGUUCGAGCGUCAUUAUCACCCCUCAAGCCCCGUGCUUGGUGUUGGACGGCUCUGGUCGAGUAAUGUCGACCCCUCCUAAAGACAAUGACGGCGGCCUGUGGAACCCCCGGUACACUGAGCUUUUAACCGAGCACGUAUCGGACGAGGGUGCCCGGGACACGGUCCAUCUUCCCUUAAGUGGGAAAGCUUUCAAGGUUGACCUCGGAUCAGGUAGGAAUACGCGCUGAACUUAA
rnacentral:misc_RNA from 1 species